rnacentral:rRNA from 1 species
UGGCUCAGGAUGAACGCUGGCGGCGUGCCUAACACAUGCAAGUCGAACGGAGGCUAUAGAAGUUUUCGGACAGAUAUAGACUUAGUGGCGAACGGGUGAGUAACACGUGGAUAAUCUACCUUAUACACAGGGAUAACAAUUGGAAACGAUUGCUAAAACCAGAUAAGCUGAAGGCAUCGCAUGAUGAAGUCAGAAAAAAUUUAUUGGUAUAAGAGGAGUCCGCGUCUGAUUAGCUAGUUGGAGAGGUAAGAGCUCCCCAAGGCGACGAUCAGUAGCCGGCCUGAGAGGGUGGACGGCCACAUUGGGACUGAGACACGGCCCAAACUCCUACGGGAGGCAGCAGUGGGGAAUAUUGCACAAUGGGGGAAACCCUGAUGCAGCAACGCCGCGUGAAGGAAGACGGUUUUCGGAUUGUAAACUUCUAUCGAUAGGGAAGAAAGAAAUGACGGUACCUAAGUAAGAAGCCCCGGCUAACUACGUGCCAGCAGCCGCGGUAAGACGUAGGGGGCAAGCGUUAUCCGGAAUUACUGGGUGUAAAGGGUGAGUAGGUGGCAAUGCAAGUCAUAUGUGAAACCUAUGGGCUUAACCCAUAGCAUGCAUAAGAAACUGUGUAGCUAGAGUACAGGAGAGGUAAGCGGAAUUCCUAGUGUAGCGGUGAAAUGCGUAGAUAUUAGGAGGAACACCAGUGGCGAAGGCGGCUUACUGGACUGUAACUGACACUGAGGCUCGAAAGCGUGGGGAGCAAACAGGAUUAGAUACCCUGGUAGCCACGCCGUAAACGAUGAAUACUAGGUGUCGGGGAGCAAAAGCUCCUCGGUGCCGCAGCUAACGCAUUAAGUAUUCCACCUGGGGAGUACGUUCGCAAGAAUGAAACUCAAAGGAAUUGACGGGGACCCGCACAAGCGGUGGAGCAUGUGGUUUAAUUCGACGCAACGCGAAGAACCUUACCUGGUCUUGACAUCUAACUGACCGCAGAGUAAUGUCUGCUUUCCUUCGGGACAGUUAAG